CGCGUAGGCGGACCUUCAAGUCGGGUGUGAAAACCGGCGGCUUAACUGCCGGCCUGCAUUCGAUACUGUUGGUCUUGAGUACAUGAGAGGAAGGCGGAAUUCCAGGUGUAGCGGUGAAAUGCGUAGAUAUCUGGAAGAACACCAGUAGCGAAGGCGGCCUUCUGGCGUGAUACUGACGCUCAAGCGCGAAGGCUAGGGGAGCAAACA
rnacentral:rRNA from 1 species